rnacentral:lncRNA from 1 species
UCUGAUAAAGGCAGUUUGGGACAGAGGCUGAGCAGAGAUGAGAAACUGUCUCUCCUGGUGGCCUGGUAAGUGAGUGCUUCAUGUCAGCCCUGAGGCUGUGGCCAUCAGCUGGGACACAUUGAGGCCUAGGUCAUGCCUGGGACAUAUAGCUUACUGCAAGCCUGGUAGUACCAUAUUGCAACAUCUAUUAUAAACAAUGUCAAGGGAAUUUUAGAAAACAAAACACAAAACCAUGUAGGUUGGGGUUGUUUGAGAGGACUGAGCAUUGCAGGAAACUAGCUAGAUAGUUCCCAGUGGGCACCAUCUACCGUGUCUGACAGUUGUGGGUAAGUAGGUCUCUAGAAGACCUCUGGGAACCUAGCUAGGUCACAGCCACUAGAGAGAGAAGCCCUGUGUGCAGGAACGGAGAAUGGACAUGGGGCUGGCUUCUGAAGUUGCCGUGCUGGGGCAGCCUGACCUGCUGUGGGGAAGGAAGUACAUACAGUCUGUUUUCUCCCUCUGUGAGACUCUCUCCGCAUGAAAAACAACUGAUUUUCAUUCUACUGGCUCUGGGAAAUAGCCUUUGUUCCUGCUGGCCCUGGAAAAGUGGCCUUAAUCCAAAGUGAUUACCCACCGUGCACCAAGAUUUAUUCUUUGCUGAUAGCCUCUCUUGCUGCCUGAGUCCUGGGCUCAAAUUGCCCACAGCCUGUCACCGAGGCCAUAUGUCUUUCCAUUCCUGCGUCGAGAAUGACAUUGAAGUCACUUUGUCCUCUCUGAAGCUUUUGUGUGUGCGCGCACGUGUGGCAUCGACCUCUUUGGUGGGUUCUAGCAGUUAAAAGAAGCCAUAAAAAUCUCAGGAGUUCAAAUGAAACCCAGAACAAAAGGCCAAUUCCCACCGGGCUUGCAGAACUUUGUGUCUCUCUUCCUUCUGCCUUGUGCAGCUUUGGGGCUGCUUCGGUGUCAGUCUUUUGGGACAUGGUGCCUGCUAAGGCAAGGAUUUGAGCUGCGAGUGGGUGUGUGUUGUCUGUCUUGGCAGCUCAGAAAGGACCUCGCGAAGGGGCUUAUGAUUUUGUUGCUGCAGUCAUUGUAGUUAUAGGAGAGGAUUCCACAUGGCUCCCGCAUCGCUCUUGGCUCUGUCAGUUGGCUGAUGAUCUUCAGUCCGGGGUUUGGAGGAGAGCCCUUUCUCCAUGUUUGCUUCUUGUCCACAAGAGUCAGUGCAGGCCGCUAUUCCGAGCAGCAUCAGUUCAGCUGUCUGCCCUCACUUUUUCCUGUCUUUCCUGUCAUUCUGCUUCCUUGUGCCAUUUGUGCUGUGCAGAAAGCAGGAAGCAGGAAGCAGGCGACCUGGUUUCAGGGAUGCCAGCAAGUGACAGAGGGCACAGGCAGCUGGAGAACUGAGACCAUCUUUGGCCUCCC